ACAUAUGUUUCUGUCUAAAGGGAAAAAAACAAGAGUGCUAGCUUAUGAUCUCCAAAUCUUUUAUUACUUUAAAAUAUCUCCUUCAAGAUAUCACUUUCAAAUGUACAUACCACCGUUACAUGGACAUCAUGUCCUUGUAAUGGUCAUAUUGAAUAGUAUGACUUGACAUUCUACUUAUCAACACACUAAAUGCGAGUUAACUCAUCUUACUCAAGUGUAGAAAUACAACAUCUACAGGCAAGCUUCUGAAAUGCAUAUCAAUGAACAGGUUACAAGUUUAUGAACUUCAAGAAGAUCGGUGACCCAAUGGAUAGAGGUAGAAUUGUGCCUCGCCAUCAGGCCAGGAGUACAGGUCACCAGAUUGACACUUCAUGUACUGAAGAUAUACAUUUUAACCUUCAACAGAG